AUUGAACGCUGGCGGCAGGCUUAACACAUGCAAGUCGAGCGGGGUGAAGUGCUUCGGUACUGAUCCUAGCGGCGGACGGGUGAGUAAUGCUUAGGAAUCUGCCAUUUAGUGGGGGACAACAUUCCGAAAGGGAUGCUAAUACCGCAUACGUCCUACGGGAGAAAGCAGGGGAUCUUCGGACCUUGCGCUAAAUGAUGAGCCUAAGUCGGAUUAGCUAGUUGGUGGGGUAAAGGCCUACCAAGGCGACGAUCUGUAGCGGGUCUGAGAGGAUGAUCCGCCACACUGGGACUGAGACACGGCCCAGACUCCUACGGGAGGCAGCAGUGGGGAAUAUUGGACAAUGGGCGGAAGCCUGAUCCAGCCAUGCCGCGUGUGUGAAGAAGGCCUUUUGGUUGUAAAGCACUUUAAGCGAGGAGGAGGCUACCUAGAUUAAUACUCUGGGAUAGUGGACGUUACUCGCAGAAUAAGCACCGGCUAACUCUGUGCCAGCAGCCGCCGUAA
rnacentral:rRNA from 1 species